rnacentral:rRNA from 1 species
GUAGGUGGCAAGCGUUGUCCGGGAAUUAUUGGGGCGUAAAGCGCGCGCAGGCGGUUCUUUAAGUCUGAUGUGAAAGCCCACGGGCUCAACCGUGGAGGGUCAUUGGAAACUGGAGAACUUGAGUACAGAAGAGGAAAGCGGAAUUCCACGUGUAGCGGUGAAAUGCGUAGAGAUGUGGAGGAACACCAGUGGCGAAGGCGGCUUUCUGGUCUGUAACUGACGCUGAGGCGCGAAAGCGUGGAGCAAACAGGAUUAGAUACCCUGGUAGUCCACGCCGUAAACGAUGAGUGCUAAGUGUUAGGGGGUUUCCGCCCCUUAGUGCUGCAGCUAACGCAUUAAGCACUCCGCCUGGGGAGUACGGCCGCAAAGGCUGA